rnacentral:rRNA from 1 species
CCUACGGGGGGCAGCAGUGGGGGAUAUUGCACAAUGGGGGGAACCCUGAUGCAGCGACGCCGCGUGGGUGAAGGAGCGUUUCGGCGCGUAAAGCCCUAUCGGCAGGGAAGAAGGAGGACGGUACCUGACUAAGAAGCCCCGGCUAACUACGUGCCAGCAGCCGCGGUAAUACGUAGGGGGCAAGCGUUAUCCGGAUUUACUGGGUGUAAAGGGGGCGCAGACGGCAGCGCAAGCCAGGAGUGAAAGCCCGGGGCUCAACCCUGGGACUGCUUUUGAAACUGCCGGGCUGGAGUGCAGGAGAGGUAAGCGGAAUUCCUAGUGUAGCGGUGAAAUGCGUAGAUAUUAGGAGGAACACCAGUGGCGAAGGCGGCUUACUGGACUGUAACUGACGUUGAGGCUCGAAAGCGUGGGGAGCAAACAGGAUUAGAUACCCCAGUAGUC